GUACACGAGGUUAAUUGGAGUAUAAAAUUUUUCGUUGCAUACUAGCGAUAACUUACAUUGAUUAAUCAUUAGCUUUAAAGAGGGGAGUUUUCUGGAUCCAAUAGAGCAUUUUUAUUUUAUUUUUUUAAACAGUAGCCCUAAUUUUAUCGGUGUUUUAAUGGUACAGCAAUUCAGAACUGAGGAAGCCAGAAGAACCCCUGGGCUUUUAAAGGUUGUAGGGAAGCAGCUCUCACCUGGCCCUGCUAAGGUUCCAUCUUCUGCAGUCUACACAAAGGAACAGGAGACCUCAUAGAAUCUUUGAGUUGGAAGGGACCUCGGAGGUCAUCUAGGCCAACCCCCUCCUCAGUGCAGGAAUUGGCUACAGCAUUCCUGAUUGGUGGCAGUCCAGGCUCUCUCUGAAAACCUCCAGGAAAGAUAAUGCAUGCAUGUGUUACAUCAUGUGAAAUGUUCUUAUACUGAGUCAAACCACUGCUACAUCUGGCUCAGUAUCGUCUACACCAGGCCUGCUCAACUCAGCCCCCGCCGCUGUUUUUGGACUAAAGGCCUCUCAUGCGUCACUCCUGCCCUAAAAAAAAGAAAAAGCCCUCUCCAUCCGAGGCCAUUUCCUUCCUCUGUUCCAGUCAGCAAUCACUGAAGCAGCAGCGACAUGAACACACCACCACUCACAGCGCCUGAGUCUCAGACUUGGAGUCACCUUCGGCAGGAACAUCGCUCUCGAUCAAAACCACCCACUGGCCGACCUAGUCCCAACCUCAGAUAGGCCUUGGGUGGUCUGGCAAGGCCUUGUUUCUGCGAGCAACCCGGCUAUGGGAAGCCGGUCAGAAUAUAUUUUUCAUUGGGAUGGCCUGAGAGAAAGGCUGAGUUGAUGAGAUUCCCAGAUCAGCUAGAGAAACAGGUGUCGGUAGGACCCAACUUUCUGAGAAAACCAUGCUCAGGAAGUUUCUGGAACCUGUUUGAGGCAUGACAUUUCUCCCACCCAACAGAAGUCCCAGAUUUAGGCACAAGCGAAGUAAGCUACACCUUAGGACCUCACCUUUUAUGAGGGGCCUCUCUGAAUACAAAGAAAGACUGCAGUUCCAAGUUUUACAGAGUGUAUUUUCAUUUAAAGGCUUUUCCAGUGCAAAAAGGCUUAUUGGAAGGUAACUGUGUUUGCUCGAUUAUUUGUUUUUUGUUGAAUCUUUGCCUUUGCCAUGUAAAAACAAAGCU